ACUCCUACGGGAGGCAGCAGUAGGGAAUCUUCCACAAUGGGCGCAAGCCUGAUGGAGCAACACCGCGUGAGUGAAGAAGGGUUUCGGCUCGUAAAGCUCUGUUGUUAAAGAAGAACACGUAUGAGAGUAACUGUUCAUACGUUGACGGUAUUUAACCAGAAAGUCACGGCUAACUACGUGCCAGCAGCCGCGGUAAUACGUAGGUGGCAAGCGUUAUCCGGAUUUAUUGGGCGUAAAGAGAGUGCAGGCGGUUUUCUAAGUCUGAUGUGAAAGCCUUCGGCUUAACCGGAGAAGUGCAUCGGAAACUGGAUAACUUGAGUGCAGAAGAGGGUAGUGGAACUCCAUGUGUAGCGGUGGGAUGCGUAGAUAUAUGGAAGAACACCAGUGGCGAAGGCGGCUACCUGGUCUGCAACUGACGCUGAGACUCGAAAGCAUGGGUAGCGAACAGGAUUAGAUACCCUGGUAGGAUAGCG
rnacentral:rRNA from 1 species